CCAAGGAGUCUAACACGUGCGCGAGUCGUAGGGUUUCCCUCGAAGCCCGAAGGCGCAAUGAAAGUGAACCGUAGGCGGGAUCCCCGUACACUCCCGAUGGGAGCCGGGGCGCACCGCCGGCCCGUCUCGUUCGGUCGGCCGCAUUCCUUCACGGGUUUGCGGUCGGCGGAGGCGGAGCGAGAGCGUACACGUUAGGACCCGAAAGACGGUGAACUAUUCCCGGACAGGACGAAGCCGGAGGAAACUCCGGUGGAGGUCCGCAGCGAUUCUGACGUGCAAAUCGAUCGUCGGAUCCGGGUAUA
rnacentral:rRNA from 1 species